GAAAACCUGGAAGCAGAGUCACACAUAAUUCAGUAUGAUUCAGCCCACUGAGCCACUCUCCACAGGAAGUAUAAAUAGAGCACAGAAGCUCUGAAAUGGAUUUUAACCACAGAGCCAGAGGAAAUUCUCAAAAGAUCUAUUAUCUUGGUGAUAAGUUCCUCAAGUGGAGCUGGGUCCACAGCUGCCAUUCAAGAGGAAACUGCAGUUUAUAUCAGCAAGUUAUGUGUUUCCUAACAUGCUGCCCAUGUCAUUCUAGCCCCAGUGCCCAUUCAGCAUCAGCCACCAUCAUAAGGGUCUCCAUUGCAGCUUGGGCUUGACUCUUAUAGCUCAUGCAUUGCCUUUUCAGAGGAAGCCAACAAGGAUUAUGACUGUACCACACAUUUCUUGGCCUUCUUGUGGAAAUCUUCACAUCGUUCCAUGACUUCAUAAUCCUCACACUCUGCAUGCCUGCAAAAUCAGCCCCAUGAGGAUGAUGGGCCUCACAGCUUGUCUUUUGUUUUCACUAACCUGGAACUGCUGAGACUUUGGGAACUCUGAGAGAUGGACUGAAUGCAUUUUGCCUUAUGAGAUGAGCAUGAGCCUUUGGCAGCCAGAGGUGGAAUAGUCUGAUAUACAUAUGAAGUGCUCCCCCUAAGACUUGUAUUUAAGGCUUGAUCCACAAUACAGCAAUAUUCAGAGAUUGGCCCUAAAGAUUUGAUUAAAUCAUGGGGGCUUGGAUGUCAUCAUGGAUUUAUCCAUUGAUGGGUUUAUAAUUGAAUAUACUAUUGGAAAGUGGUGGUAAGUAUUGAGGGGGGGGCUAGUUGGAGGAAGUAAAUCACUAGGACCCUGCUCUAGAAGGGUAUAUUUUGUCUCUAGCAAUCUUCUUCCCCUCCUCCUCUCUCUCUCUCUCUCUCUCUCUCUCUCUCUCUCUCUCUCUC
rnacentral:lncRNA from 1 species